rnacentral:snoRNA from 1 species
GUUUCACAGAGUAACUUGUGGUUUCCUUUCCUCAGAGAACUGCAUGUUAGAUCUGUGGGAAAGAGCUACAAGACAGAG